GGAGUCUGGGCCGUGUCUCAGUCCCAAUGUGGCCGUUGAGCCUCUCAGCUCGGCUACUGAUCAUCGCUUUGGUGGGCCGUUACCCCGCCAACUGGCUAAUCAGCCGCGAGCCCAUCUUUUGGUUGGAUUUCUCCUUUGACUGUGUGAAGAUGUCUUCUCACAGUGUUAUGCGGUAUUAGCACUGAUUUCUCAAUGUUAUCCCCCUCCAUAAGGUAGGUUGCUCACGUGUUACUCACCCGUCCGCCACUAAAUUUUCGUCUCCUGGUAAACAUUCGACUAAAUUCCGUUCGACUUGCAUGUCUUAUGUGCGCCGCCAGCGUUUCUC
rnacentral:rRNA from 1 species